UAGCAAUACGAUGGAAAGUCUAGUGGCGAACGGGUGCUUAACACGUGGGCAACCUGCCAGGAAGUGGGGGAUAGCUCGCCGAAAGGCGAAUUAAUACCGCAUGUGAUUAGAGAGGACAUCCUUUCGAAAUUAAAGUCGGGGCAACCUGACGCUUCUUGUGGGGCCCGCGGCCUAUCAGCUAGUUGGUGGGGUAAAGGCUCACCAAGGCUUUGACGGGUAGCUGGUCUGAGAGGACGACCAGCCACACUGGGACUGAGACAUGGCCCAGACACCUACGGGUGGCAGCAGUCGAGAAUUUUUGACAAUGGGGGAAACCCUGAUCGAGCGACGCCGCGUGGAGGAUGAAGGUCUUCGGAUUGUAAACUCCUGUCAUUGGGGAACAAGGUGCAUACGUUAACUGCGUGCGCAUUGAUAGUACCCGAAGAGGAAGAGACGGCUAACUCUGUGCCAGCAGCCGCGGUAAUACAGAGGUCUCAAGCGUUGUUCGGAUUCAUUGGGCGUAAAGGGUGCGUAGGCGGCGCGGUAAGUCGGGUGUGAAAUCUCGGAGCUUAACUCCGAAACUGCAUUCGAUACUGCCGUGCUUGAGGACUGGAGAGGAGACUGGAAUUCACGGUGUAGCA
rnacentral:rRNA from 1 species